rnacentral:rRNA from 1 species
GACGAACGCUGGCGGCGUGCUUAACACAUGCAAGUCGAACGGAAAGGCUCCAGCUUGCUGGAGUACUCGAGUGGCAAACGGGUGAGUAACACGUGGGUGAUCUGCCCUGCACUUCGGGAUAAGCCUGGGAAACUGGGUCUAAUACCGGAUAGGACCGCACUUUGGUGUGUGUGGUGGAAAGGUUUUUCUGGUGUGGGAUGAGCUCGCGGCCUAUCAGUUUGUUGGUGGGGUAAUGGCCUACCAAGACGGCGACGGGUAGCCGGCCUGAGAGGGUGGACGGUCACAUUGGGACUGAGAUACGGCCCAGACUCCUACGGGAGGCAGCAGUGGGGAAUAUUGCACAAUGGGGGAAACCCUGAUGCAGCGACGCCGCGUGGGGGAUGAAGGCCUUCGGGUUGUAAACUCCUUUCGCUAGGGACGAAGCUUUUUGUGACGGUACCUGGAGAAGAAGCACCGGCUAACUACG